AUUCAGCUGAUGAGUCCCAAAUAGGACGAAGCGCGCGUCCUGGAU
rfam:Schistosoma haematobium scaffold758_7, whole genome shotgun sequence.